GAUACUAGGUGUUGUCUGUAUCGACCCGGACAGUGCCGUAGCUAACGCGUUAAGUAUCCCGCCUGGGAGUACGCGCAAGGUUGAACUACAAGGAAUUGACGGGACCCGCACAAGCGGUGGAUGAUGUGGUUUAAUUCGAUGCAACGACGAAACCUUAACCCUACCUUGUACAUGUACGGAAUCCUUUAGAGAUAGAGGAGUGCUCGAAUAAGAACCGUAACACAGGUGCUGCAUGGCGUGUCGUCAGCUCGUGUCGUGAGAUGUUGGUUAAGGUACCGCCAACGAAGCGCCAACCCUUACGUCUAUUAGUUGUCUACUAUUUAGUUUGGGUCGACUACUAACAAGACUGCCGGUCGACAAACCGGAAGGAAGGGUAGGGGAGGUGACGUCAAGUCAGCAUCGCCCUUACGUCCUGGGCUACACACGGUCGACGCGGC
rnacentral:rRNA from 1 species